AUGGUCUACUUUUAUUUGUGUACACUCACAAUAACAACAAACUAUUGUACUUUUGUAAAAUAAAAUAAAUAAAUGAAUAAAAAAACAGCUUGCGCUUUCAGCUGUCUCUCUGCUAGAAUCUUUCUGGAACGUCUCAGAAAUUUUACUUAAACUCAGAGAAUAAUUGUACCUAAAAGAAAAAAAUAAAUAAAAUUUCGAUUUGAAAUUCAUAGGUCUGUGUUAAAUAAUAGGUGAUCUAUCCGCUGGAAUGUGUUGUUUCUGAAAUCAUGGCCAGUGCUCGUUGCAGCUGUUAUCAGUUCUCAUGGCACUCGUGCACACGCACAGUCUUCACACAGACAAUCGAGCGUUUUGUUCUGGUAAAAGCACAAAACAAAAUGCACACAACGUGUCCUUGCUCUUGAUGUACCCUUUGGUUUUAAUGAGUAAAUUAGCCUAUAGUUAUUCCUGCCUGCCGGUAUUUAGUCUGCGAUAUCAAAAUCACUAAACAUUAUAGCAUAUAUAGCCUAAUAUUAUUCAAUAAUAACAUCAAAUGUUAUUAACCUUUAUUUUUUCUAAUCAAACCAGUUUCAGAACGUUUAUAAUACAGACGGAACGCUGGAACAGAAACGUUAAAAUACCGAUUCUGCUCGGAGUGGAACGAUUUAAUUUUUAUUUUAUUUUUUUCCGUUUUUAAGCCUUCAUUUUUAUAAAUUUUAGUAAAAUGUUGAUAAAUUGUGCAGUCUUAUACUGGUAUCCCAUAUUUCAAUAUUUGGUGGUUUCAAUGCCUGCUUGAGGUCUCUGUGAAAGUUUUAAAGCAGUUUUAAAGCAGUCUUAUGUGCCACUUUCAGACCAGUCACAUCCGUAACGGAAAACUGUCACAUCCGUAACGUUGUUUUUUCCUCAUUUAUGCGAACACGAAAAAUGAAAUAAAAUUAUUAUUUUAUGCUCUGUGGAGAGCCAACCCUUCUUCAUUCGGUGGGCAGUAUUACUUUUGGUUUGCGCAAUGUAAUUUGCAGAAUUCUUAAAAAAUAUGUUGUCACCCAAAACUUAGUGACUUUUUUUUGUCACGUCCGUAACGCUGUAUAUUUCCCUCAUCUAAAAUAUAAAACAAUUGUAUAGACUGACAUUUUUCUAAUGUCUGGACUCCUUUAGUAAAGGAUUAUGAAUAUAUAAAUAGACGAUUUAAUAUGUUGCUAUUAAAUGCAUUCUUUGAGCAUUUAUAUUUCAAGUUUUGACUCCAAAUGUCACGUCCAUAACGCUGGAAUUGCCCAGAACCACCUCUCAUUCUCAAUAUGUGAAGAAUCUGAAAGCCAGAUUAGAGUACAGUUAUGGGCUUGCAAUCCAAAAUGCAAAGAAAGUAGCUGAUAAGAACAAGAAACGCUUUGAUAAGGCUGUUAGAGAGUCCACUUUGGAGAAAGGAGACAGAGUUUUAGUGAGAAAUUUGCGCUUACGGUACAAGCACAAACUCGCUGAUCGGUGGGAAUCUACCGUUUAUAUAGUGACCAAGCGCAUGGGGGACUUACCUGUGUACUCUGUUAAGCCUGAGAAUGCAGAGGAACCAGUACACUGUUAAAUGUCGCUGUAGAUUUUGCAGCACAGUACUGUAAAAACCUACAGUACAGUACCAUAUUUCUAUAUUACAGUAAAAUACUGUAUUUUAUAUUGCAUUCUGGGUAAUUUUGAUUGAGCGGGAAUAUUUUACAGUACAUUUUAGUGUUGCUGUAACCCUGCUGUAACCUGGCUGUAAUAUACCAGGCAAUAAUACAGGAUUGCUGUAAAUAACGCGCCACCUGACGUCACAUCACACAGACAGAAGAACACGGCCGCUGGUGACUGGAGAAGCAGAACGGUGUAUUUCUGGAAGUUUGCAGUGUGGUCCACUUGUCUUUGCAUCCUGGGAAGUGCAUUGCUUUCACAAGGAAGCGUAUUUUUUUGGCAUUGAAGGAAAGAAAUGUACUGCCCGACAGGGAGUGAGCAGAAGACCAGGACGGUGGUGCAGAGUGAUGGCCAUCAACCCACAUGUCAACAGCUUCGUUCGGUCCUUUGUGUUUAAAUGGAAGACUUCACACUGAGGGACUGUGGCCUGUUUGCAGCCAUCCACGUGCCCUUCAGUUAGGGGUGAAUCUUGUGGGACACUUGUUGUUUUUGCUCACUUUUUAAGAUAAAUCAAAUUUCUGAUGCACUGUACCAAGACCGUUGCUGAUGGGGCGAAAGAUGGUGACAAUUCUGAAAUGUUUUGAAAUGUUUAAAUAUAUUGAUUGAAUAAAAAUACAUUUUUUAAAUUUA